rnacentral:snRNA from 1 species
UUUCGAUAUUUAAGAUUUAUAAA